UACGUAGGGUGCAAGCGUUGUCCGGAAUUAUUGGGCGUAAAGAGCUCGUAGGCGGUUUGUCGCGUCUGCUGUGAAAUCCCAGGGCUUAACCCUGGGCCUGCAGUGGGUACGGGCAAACUAGAGUGCGGUAGGGGAGAUCGGAAUUCCUGGUGUAGCGGUGAAAUGCGCAGAUAUCAGGAGGAACACCGGUGGCGAAGGCGGAUCUCUGGGCCGUAACUGACACUGAGGAGCGAAAGCGUGGGGAGCGAACAGG
rnacentral:rRNA from 1 species